rnacentral:rRNA from 1 species
CAUAUCUGCUGGAAUGCUUUAUGCGUAAAAUGGAUUUGUCUGCCCAAGGAUGGGUCUGCGGCCUAUCAGGUAGUAGUGGGUGUAAUGUACCUACUAGCCUACGACGGGUACGGGUUGUGAGAGCAAGAGCCCGGAGAUGGAUUCUGAGACAUGAAUCCAGGCCCUACGGGGCGCAGCAGGCGCGAAAACUUUACAAUGCGGGAAACCGUGAUAAGGGGACACCGAGUGCCAGCAUCAUAUGUUGGCUGUCCAGAUGUGUGAAAUACAUCUGUUAGCAAGGGCCGGGCAAGACCGGUGCCAGCCGCCGCGGUAACACCGGCGGCCCGAGUGGUGAUCGUGAUUAUUGGGUCUAAAGGGUCCGUAGCCGGUUUGGUCAGUCCUCCGGGAAAUCUGACGGCUCAACCGUUAGGCUUUCGGUGGAUACUGCCAGACUUGGAACCGGGAGAGGUAAGAGGUACUACAGGGGUAGGAGUGAAAUCUUGUAAUCCCUGUGAGACCACCUGUGGCGAAGGCGUCUUACCAGAACGGGUUCGACGGUGAGGGACGAAAGCUGGGGGCACGAACCGGAUUAGAUACCCGGGUAGUCCCAGCCGUAAACGAUGCUCGCUAGGUGUCAGGCAUGGCGCGACCGUGUCUGGUGCCGCAGGGAAGCCGUGAAGCGAGCCACCUGGGAAGUACGGCCGCAAGGCUGAAACUUAA